GCACUCACUUCGGCAGCACAUACACUAAAACUGGAAUGAUACAGAGAUAGCACGGUUCCUGCACAAGGAUAACAAACAAAUUCGUGAAGUGUUCCAUAUUUAA